AUUGAACGCUGGCGGCAUGCCUAACACAUGCAAGUCGAACGUGAAAGAGGGGCAACUCUCGAGUAAAGUGGCGGACGGGUGAGUAAUACGUAGGAAUCUGCCCUAGAGUGGGGGAUAACCUGCCGAAAGGCGGGCUAAUACCGCAUAAUCUCUACGGAGAAAAGGUGCCUUGUACUUGCACAAGGUUUCGCUUUAGGAUGAGCCUACGUCGGAUUAGCUAGUUGGUAGGGUAAAGGCCUACCAAGGCAACAAUCCGUAGCUGGUCUGAGAGGACGAUCAGCCACACUGGAACUGAGACACGGUCCAGACUCCUACGGGAGGCAGCAGUGGGGAAUAUUGGACAAUGGGGGAAACCCUGAUCCAGCAAUGCCGCGUGUGCGAUGAAGGCCUGAGGGUUGUAAAGCACUUUCGUUGGAGAAGAAAUGCUCAAAUAUAAUACAUUUGAGAGAUGACGUUAUCCAAAGAAGAAGCACCGGCAAACUCUGUGCCAGCAGCCGCGGUAAGAC
rnacentral:rRNA from 1 species